rnacentral:rRNA from 1 species
GACGAACGCUGGCGGCGUGCCUAAUACAUGCAAGUCGAGCGAAGUUUUUCUGGUGCUUGCACCGGAAAAACUUAGCGGCGAACGGGUGAGUAACACGUAAAGAACCUGCCUCAUAGACUGGGACAACUAUUGGAAACGAUAGCUAAUACUGGAUAACAGCAUCAACUGCAUGGUUGAUGUUUAAAAGUUGGUUUUGCUAACACUAUGAGAUGGCUUUGCGGUGCAUUAGCUAGUUGGUGGGGUAAAGGCCUACCAAGGCGACGAUGCAUAGCCGACCUGAGAGGGUGAUCGGCCACACUGGGACUGAGGCACGGCCCAGACUCCUACGGGAGGCAGCAGUAGGGAAUCUUCCGCAAUGGGCGAAAGCCUGACGGAGCAACGCCGCGUGAGUGAAGAAGGAUUUCGGUUCGUAAAGCUCUGUUGUUAGGGAAGAAUGAUUGUGUAGUAACUAUACACAGAGAGACGGACCUAACCAAAAGCCACG